GAAGACUAAAGGCUGUGAGAGACGCUUUUAGGAGGCGCUGCUAACACUGAGCACUUCAGCCACGGCGCUCGCCGUUCAGCCCGCCGCUCAACUCAGCUUGGCGGAUUAGCCUCCCCGCCAUCACUAUGGAAACCGAAACGCCGCCGUGCACAGCCGCAGACACACAGAGUGACUCCAGGCCUCUCCAGUUAUGCGUUGCUGAGGUGUGAGAUAGCGGUCUCUACGCUACACUGGAGAGGAGAGCCAGAGAGGCCAGGUCACACCACACCAUCCACACUGAAUCCUAAUGCGUGUGUGUUCCCUGAUACCUACAGUACAGGGCGGGAGCGACAGUCGAAAUUAGAAUCGGGUUGAGGUCGCCUGAGGAUGUACCACAUUUCCUCCACCGUAU
ensembl:lncRNA